UGCGAGACGACGGACACGUGCGCGUCUGUGUAUGAAUUGUCAAACCUACUUGCGUCGGACAACAUCGGGCAGCCGUUUGAUACUUGUUGGCGUGAUUAAUACGAGUUCGAAGGUUGUAUAGAAAUGAAACGGAAUUGAGAUGAAGUAGAGGAAGAUCGUACUGGCAAUGAGCGACAAGUCUGUCCAUAACGGAAGAAUUCACUUAAACGGUACGGACAGAGAAAGGUACAGAGCUUUUUAGUUAUAGAGGAUACUUACUUUAUGGCACGUGAUGCAAAUGAACCAGAACUAGCAGUUCUAAACGAUUUCCAACAUUAGCACGUCGACUCCCCUUGCGAGUUCGAAGAUUUUUAGCGAGCCUGCAUAAAUAUAUAUAAUAUAUA